GUGGGGAAUAUUGGGCAAUGGGCGAAAGCCUGACCCAGCAACGCCGCGUGAAGGAAGAAGGCUUUCGGGUUGUAAACUUCUUUUGUCAGGGACGAAAAAAAUGACGGUACCUGACGAAUAAGCCACGGCUAACUACGUGCCAGCAGCCGCGGUAAUACGUAGGUGGCAAGCGUUAUCCGGAUUUACUGGGUGUAAAGGGCGUGUAGGCGGGAAAGCAAGUCAGAUGUGAAAACUAUGGGCUCAACCCAUAGCCUGCAUUUGAAACUGUUUUUCUUGAGUACUGGAGAGGCAGAUGGAAUUCCUAGUGUAGCGGUGAAAUGCGUAGAUAUUAGGAGGAACACCAGUGGCGAAGGCGGCUUUCUGGACAGAAACUGACGCUGAGGCGCGAAAGCGUGGGGAGCAAACAGGAUUAGAAACCCGAGUAGUCC
rnacentral:rRNA from 1 species